UACGAAGGGGGGCUAGCGUUGCUCGGAUUGACUGGGCGUAAAGGGCGCGUAGGCGGUUCGUACAGUCAGACGUGAAAUUCCUGGGCUCAACCUGGGGGCUGCGUUUGAUACGUGCGGACUUGAGUGCGGAAGAGGGGUCGUGGAAUUCCCAGUGUAGAGGUGAAAAUUCGUAGAUAUUGGGAAGAACACCGGUGGCGAAGGCGGCGACCUGGUCCGAUACUGACGCUGAGGCGCGAAAGCGUGGGGGAGCAAACAGG
rnacentral:rRNA from 1 species